rnacentral:rRNA from 1 species
ACGGGCCGCACAGCGGUGGAGUAUGUGGUUUAAUCCGACGCAACGCGAAGUAACCUUACCUAGGUUUGACAUCUUGGGAAUCUCUAUGAAAGUAGAGAGUGCCCUUCGGGGAGCCCAAAGACAGGUGCUGCAUGGCUGUCGUCAGCUCGUGUCGUGGGAUGUUGGGUUAAGUCCCGCAACGAGCGCAACCCUUGUCUUUAGUUGCCAUCAUUUAGUUGGGCACUCUAAAGAGACUGCCGGUGUCAAACCGGAGGAAGUGGGGAUGACGUCAAGUCCUCAUGGCCUUUAUGACCAGGGCUACACACGUACUACAAUGGCCGGUACAAAGGGCAGCCACUUAGCGAUAAGGAGCCAAUCCCGUAAAGCCGGUCUCAGUUCGGAUUGGAGUCUGCAACUCGACUCCAUGAAGUUGGAAUCGCUAGUAAUCGCGGAUCAGCAUGCCGCGGUGAAUACGUUCCCGGGCCUU